rnacentral:rRNA from 1 species
UGUGCAAAGGUAGCAUAAUCAUUUGUCUUAUAAUUGAAGUCUGGCAUGAAGGAGCCAAUGGGGAAAAACUGUCUUCAAUAGUUUAACAGAAAUUGCUAAGUAGGUGAAAAUGCCUAUAGUAAGCUAAUAGACGAGAAGACCCUAGAAAUUUUAUAUAAAAAUAUAAAAGUUAUACGUAAUAUUUUGCUGGGGCGGCAGAAUAACAUAUAACUUAUUUUAACAAAUUAGUACAGCAUAAUGAGUAAAAAUAAAUUACUCUAGGGAUAACAGCAUAAUUUACCAGAGUUUGUGACCUCGAUGUUGGACUAGGGUUUUUACUAGUCAGAAGCUAGUAAAAAUGGCUCUGUUCGAGCUCCAUACCCCUACAUGAUCUGAGUUCAAAUCGA